GGGUUGUGAGGUUAAGCGACUAAGCGUACACGGUGGAUGCCCUGGCAGUCAGAGGCGAUGAAGGACGUGCUAAUCUGCGAAAAGCGUCGGUAAGGUGAUAUGAACCGUUACAGCCGGCGAUGUCCGAAUGGGGAAACCCAGUGCAAUUCGUUGCACUAUCGUUAACUGAAUACAUAGGUUAACGAGGCGAACCGGGGGAACUGAAACAUCUAAGUACCCCGAGGAAAAGAAAUCAACCGAGAUUCCCCCAGUAGCGGCGAGCGAACGGGGAGCAGCCCAGAGUCUGAAUCAGCUUGUGUGUUAGUGGAACGGUCUGGAAAGUCCGACGGUACAGGGUGAUAGUCCCGUACACCAAAAUGCACAGGCUGUGAACUCGAAGAGUAGGGCGGGACACGUGGUAUCCUGUCUGAAUAUGGGGGGACCAUCCUCCAAGGCUAAAUACUCCUGACUGACCGAUAGUGAACCAGUACCGUGAGGGAAAGGCGAAAAGAACCCCGGCGAGGGGAGUGAAAAAGAACCUGAAACCGUGUACGUACAAGCAGUGGGAGCACCUUUAUGGUGUGACUGCGUACCUUUUGUAUAAUGGGUCAGCGACUUAUAUUCUGUAGCAAGGUUAACCGUAUAGGGGAGCCGCAGGGAAACCGAGUCUUAACUGGGCGUUAAGUUGCAGGGUAUAGACCCGAAACCCGGUGAUCUAGCCAUGGGCAGGUUGAAGGUUGGGUAACACUAACUGGAGGACCGAACCGACUAAUGUUGAAAAAUUAGCGGAUGACUUGUGGCUGGGGGUGAAAGGCCAAUCAAACCGGGAGAUAGCUGGUUCUCCCCGAAAGCUAUUUAGGUAGCGCCUCGUGAAUUCAUCUUCGGGGGUAGAGCACUGUUUCGGCUAGGGGGUCAUCCCGACUUACCAACCCGAUGCAAACUACGAAUACCGAAGAAUGUUAUCACGGGAGACACACGGCGGGUGCUAACGUCCGUCGUGAAGAGGGAAACAACCCAGACCGCCAGCUAAGGUCCCAAAGUCAUGGUUAAGUGGGAAACGAUGUGGGAAGGCACAGACAGCCAGGAUGUUGGCUUAGAAGCAGCCAUCAUUUAAAGAAAGCGUAAUAGCUCACUGGUCGAGUCGGCCUGCGCGGAAGAUGUAACGGGGCUAAACCAUGCACCGAAGCUGCGGCAGCGACACUAUGUGUUGUUGGGUAGGGGAGCGUUCUGUAAGCCUGCGAAGGUGACCUGUGAGGGUUGCUGGAGGUAUCAGAAGUGCGAAUGCUGACAUAAGUAACGAUAAAGCGGGUGAAAAGCCCGCUCGCCGGAAGACCAAGGGUUCCUGUCCAACGUUAAUCGGGGCAGGGUGAGUCGACCCCUAAGGCGAGGCCGAAAGGCGUAGUCGAUGGGAAACAGGUUAAUAUUCCUGUACUUGGUGUUACUGCGAAGGGGGGACGGAGAAGGCUAUGUUAGCCGGGCGACGGUUGUCCCGGUUUAAGCAUGUAGGCUG
rnacentral:rRNA from 1 species